AUGAUAUCGGGGGACACUGUCUUCGUACCUAGAACGCUGGAAGAACCCACACUGGGGCAGAGAAGAGAAAGAACAGUUUAGGUUUAAGUUGCUGCCAAAGUACUACAACUUGUAGAGGCAGUACAUUCUUCCUUUGCACAGACAUACAGGCUGGUUGCCAGAAAAAAAAAAAAAAGUCACAAGAAAUCUGUUUCUUGAUCUGAGAACUUCCUGGACUUACUCCAUCUGUAAAAUAAUAGAAUAACCUGUGGUAAAGAAUAUUAUUUUCCAAUUGUUUUGCUACACUUGUAAUGAUGUCCAUAGCAACUAAAGCUGGCUGUGAAGAUCAGAAAGAAGUCUAUACAGAAACCUGUUUGUGGACUAGUGCACAGGACAGACAAAAACACAGGGUAGAGCAACAAGGAGUACUGCUUUGACCUGUCCAGCACAGGCAUGUUUUAAACCAAUCAUGUAACUGUCUCUGAAAUACAAUGUUUGUCCUUCGUAAGACCACUCAGUGUUUGUCAUCAAAAGAAGCAUUUUAAACUGUGUGUGUGUGUCUGAAAAUGUGUGUAUUUUCAGGUGCAGUAAAACACUCGUAUUUAUAACCCAAAAUUCAUCAGGAAGAUUUGCAGCUGGUGUUGGGAAGUCUGAACUAUCGGGUCAGAGGUAACCUGCAGCAAAUAGCAGCUCCUCAGCAAAGCCAAUUGCUGCAGUUUCUCCAGAAGAAAGUGACAGACAGGAUAGUCCUUGUCACCUCUCCUUUCUGAAUAACCACCUGCUAUUCUACCUGCUUAUACCUGUAAAAACUAAGAACAAAGGACAGCCCUGUUACACUUAGAACAACAAUUAGCUGUAAAAAUGCCAAGAGUAGUUAGAAAAAUAGGUACUUCAUUUUUUCAUUUUGCAAAUUAUUUCCCUUCUAUUAUACACGCUUAUCUACUCCUUUAGGAUUUCUAAGGCAAGAAGCGAAUCCUACAGAAAAUGACCACCACACUUGGCUAUAUGUUAUUUCUGUAUCUUUUGGUUUCCCUCUGCUAUCCAUUUAAUGGUAUUUCUAACCUGACAAGAACAAAGCCCUGCUGAAACAUUUGCAGACAAUUCACAUGAAGUUUCAUACCUAACUGCAGAAGCCCCAGUUAGCUGUAUCCACCGGUAUCAAAGUAAAUAUGGUCUCUGAAUAUUUGUCUCCAGUUUUGCCCAAAGCUCAAAAUACUUCCUUUUAAGGAUGUGCAAACAGAAGAAUGUCAUAACAAGUCUUCCCAUGUAACCAUUCUCAUUCCAAAUGCUGCAAAACUGAGAAACUGAUAAAGGUAAUGUUUGGGCAGUUUUGCUCUGUUUGGAGUCCCAAAAUCAAAUCAAAAUACUUACUCAUUUGCUUAAUUAUUUUGCUAUCUAGUCAGUUGUAGACCAGGGAAUGUAAAAUAACCAGAUGAAUAAAAACUCACCUUCCAGAGUAAGAAUACCAACAGUGCCAGCAUCAGUAUUCCAGCAAAAAUAGCCACCGCGAUGAUCCACCAAGGCACUCCUGUGUACAGUGCUACUGGUUUUGCAGGGAAGACAGUAACACGCACCUAAAGGAGAGAAAAUAUGUGAUGAUGGAAAGAGCAUUUCAGAAGCAUCCAUGUUUAAUAUAAAGCUACAAAUUAUACAGUUAUCUCUUUUCUGACAAGAUGUCUUCUCUCUCCCAUCUUUAAAAUGUUUUUGAAGAAAAAGUUCUGACUGGUAUCGUUCCAAUAUGGUAGUGAAUUUUUCCAACCUGAUUAAAGGUAAAAAUGGUCAAAAAUUCAGAACUCAGUUAAAAAGCUAAACUUUUACCUACUUUUGGUUUUAAAUGGUUUAUUUUUUUUCCAGUCAUUGAGGUAAGCUGGAAACAUCACAAUCAUAACAUAUAGUUAGAAUUAAAAGAUUAGCCUACCUGAGCAACUUCAUUUGUGAGUUUAACAUUCUUAGCUGCAGCCGGAACACUGAUUGAAGCCCUAACAAGAAUGUCCAGGUAGUUCAUUUUUGAGUAUUCCUGUUCCAUAAUAAAAUACGGACGUUAGA